rnacentral:siRNA from 1 species
AGAGAACUUAUCACAUAGGUCCUC